CCUACGGGAGGCAGCAGUGAGGAAUAUUGGUCAAUGGGCGAGAGCCUGAACCAGCCGUCCCGCGUGCAGGAUGACGGCCCUAUGGGUUGUAAACUGCUUUUCUGCUCCAAGAAACCCACUUACGUGUAGGUGGUUGACGGUAGAGUAGGAAUAAGCAUCGGCUAACUCCGUGCCAGCAGCCGCGGUAAUACGGAGGAUGCAAGCGUUAUCCGGAUUCAUUGGGUUUAAAGGGUGCGCAGGUGGGAAUGUAAGUCAGUGGUGAAAUACUGCCGCUUAACGGUAGAGCUGCCAUUGAUACUGCGUUUCUUGAGUAUGGUUGAGGUAGGUGGAAUGUGUUGUGUAGCGGUGAAAUGCAUAGAUAUGACACAGAACGCCGAUUGCGAAGGCAACUUACUAAGCCAUUACUGACGCUGAGGCACGAAAGCGUGGGUAGCGAACAGGAUUAGAUACCCUGGUAGUCCACGCCGUAAACGAUGUUCACUCGCUGUUUGCGAUACACAGUAAGCGGCUGAGCGAAAGCAUUAAGUGAACCACCUGGGGAGUACGAUCGCAAGGUUGAAACUCAAAGGAAUUGACGG
rnacentral:rRNA from 1 species